rnacentral:rRNA from 1 species
UACGUAGGUGACAAGCGUUGUCCGGAUUUACUGGGCGUAAAGAGCGCGCAGGCGGUCGUUCAAGUCGAGUGUGAAAGACCCCGGCUCAACUGGGGAGGGUCGUGCGAUACGGUCGAACUGGAGGCCAGUAGGGGAUGCGGAAUUCCGGGUGUAGUGGUGGAAUGCGUAGAGAUCCGGAGGAACACCAGCGGCGAAGGCGGACAUCCUGGACUGGUCCUGACACUCAGGAGCGAAAGCGUGGGGAGCGAGUCCGG